rnacentral:misc_RNA from 1 species
GGAGACUCGGGCAAAUAGAAGACAGUUAGUAAAAAAUACACAAGCGAAGGAAUCGAGAGCACUCCAAGCAUCACUCUCCAAUUCGGAUUCACCAUCAACGACAUCCCGAAAACCAUACAAUACGAUAAAAACAUCCCAGCAGAGCCAGUGAACUGCGGCAGCGUAUUCAGCAACCCCCGUAUCUCCGACGGGGCCGUCUCAGAAAUAUACACCGGAACAACCGUCACGGCCAAGCCAAUCCCAAACCCAUCUAUCAACCUUGCCAAGAGCAACAUAUAAACAUUUGGAGACCACAACAUCACCAGCCCGCCAACGAAGUAGAAAAUGGACGAGACAAUCAGCAAGGGGCGCCGACCGACCCAAUCCGCAAUCGCUCCCGAGCCUGUCGUAAUGACCGUCGCCCCGAUCAGAGACAUCGCCACGAUCAGCCCCUCCAUCGUCGGCUGGCUCUCCAAUUUAAACUCGCUCUUAAUGUAAAGAACAGCACCUGCAAUUGUCGCAUUAUCCCACCCCUGCAACAAGUUGCCGAUCGUGGCGACGAUAGCGACUAGCACCGCGCCGUUCAUCUUGCCACCGGUUUCCG